UGAUCCUAAUCUUUUUGUUUCGUGACUUCAUCGACAAACACUGCUUAUUGUCUUAUAUCCACUGUGUUACCUGAUUUUAAGUUGUUUGUUACCAGUUUUUAUUCUUUUAAAUAAGAUUCUUCCAAUAUGACUCAAAUGAUAACCAAAUCCCUUCAGGCUUGUAAGGAUUCCUUGGGGCUUCUUAUUGUCCUUUGGGCUUCUUAUAUUCCUUUGGAACGUCUCGACCACAGUUCCCAUUCACUUCACUAGGCUCAACUUUCUUGUCUUAUACAUUUGUUUAAACUUUCUUUUUAUUCUAUAUCUUUUUGUUUCUUUAUUUUAUUAACGUUUUAUUAACUUUCAGUUUUACGCUUCCUUUAUUGGCAACCGCCAAAUCUCGACUACCUUUGUCUUUUCUUUUUUAAGUUUUCAAAAUUAACUUCUUUUAACACAAAACCUAACUGAAAAACUCUACUAACAAAACUAAUUAAAAAAAUCGUUACCCUAACUGCAAUUUAAACAAACAAAAAACUGUGCAAAAAAAAUACUUGUUUAAUAAGACCUAUUUCAAAAACAAUAAAGAAAUGUACAUACAUUACAACUAAAUUGCUGUAUUAACGUUAAGGUUCAACGUACUUUCCUAUCCGACACAUAUAAGAAAAACUUUCGUGAAUUUUAAAGAGAAAUUUUCACGAAUUUUCUCUUUAAUGCUGGAAACCCUGUUUUUGUUGUUGUCGUAUUAAACCAUACUGUCAUCACAUGCAACACUGCAUUAUCCCACGAUCCACAUUUUGACGUUUCUAUUUUGACAACUAAAUACCUAUGAUCACAAACAUUAAAUCAGACAACAUAAACAAAACAAUCAACUAAAACAAAUUAUAAAUUCAAAUUUAUUUUAAUUAUUUAAUAAACAAUCAUCGAACAAAACCAAGACAAGUGAUAAUUAAAACAAACUACAAUAAAAAAAAACAUGCAACAGUGCAAUAAAACAAUAAAACAAUACAAUCAGCAUUCAGAAAUAACAAGAAAACAAACUCCCCGGAAGAAACCGUGUAUUGUCCACGAACCACCAACCAGAUGCGAUACCAAGACUAUCCUCCUGAAAACUUCAUACAUCAAAUCAAUCUCAACAAAACUCUUUCAUUCCCAGACCAGAUGCAGGAAUGAUAGUGUGAGAUUAUGGAGGUAGUACUAUGUCACACCGACGCAACUCUCCGUCUAGCUAGCCGGGCAACUUCAACCAUCAAUAUUAGAGAUAUUUAUCAAAAUAUCUUGAAUGUUACUUUGUUCAAAAUUUUACUAUAUUUCCGGUACUAUAUUACGCGUGCAGGUCCCAUUACGAACAAAUCUGCCCAGUUGGUUUUGUAUAAGAAUUGGAAUAAUACCCCAGCAUAUAUCACAGAAGAAUAACUUAACCUAAUAUUGCACAUUUUCGUUAUUGCACAGUGCUCGAGUAAUAUCCUCCAACUGUACAUCCUCCUCGCUAGUUAGUGAAUUCCCUCCAUCUGACCGCUUUUCGGAAAUACAAACUUUUCUAAUUUCCUUUAACAUUUGAGAAAAUCCACUUUGCAAACUCUUCUGGAUGCGAUCAUCUAACCUACUUUCCAGUUCAUUCCUAUUAAUUAAUGUUGCAUAAGCCCUAGGACUUUGACCGAUUGAUAUACCUCUAGGAAUUGCAGGUGGUGGAAUAUUGGCAUCGAAGCCUGGUAAAGGAUUUACUCUUUUCAGUAUGGUACCCGUUGGAUUUUGAUUUGGAAUUGGUGGUCGCGCUGUUGGUGGAGUUCUCUGUAUCGGCAUUUUUAUUGUUCUUAAUUAUUCAUAUAUAUCUGUGAUACUCAAAUUAAAUAGUGCUGAAAACAACUUAUAAUCAAAAUAACUAACGCUUUAAAUUUUAAACAAUUAACGUAAUACAACAUAAACUACUUAUACAAUUAAACCUAUAGUUAAAACAUAAAACAUAACUUAAACUAGAGACAUACAUAUACUAAAAACAUAAAAUCUCUAAAACAAUAUUAAUAUAUAGAUUAA